rnacentral:rRNA from 1 species
CGCAGGAAAUUUGAGAGGAGCUGUCCUUAGUACGAGAGGACCGGGAUGGACACACCGCUGGUGUACCAGUUGUUCUGCCAAGAGCAUGGCUGGGUAGCUAUGUGUGGAAGGGAUAAGUGCUGAAAGCAUCUAAGCAUGAAGCCCCCCUCAAGAUGAGAUUUCCCAUAGCGUUAAGCUAGUAAGACCCCUGAGAGACGAUCAGGUUGAUAGGUCAGAGGUGGAAGCGUGGUGACACGUGGAGCUGACUGAUACUAAUCGGUCGAGGACUUAACUA